rnacentral:rRNA from 1 species
UACGUAGGGGGCAAGCGUUGUCCGGAAUCAUUGGGCGUAAAGCGCGUGUAGGCGGCCAGGUAAGUCCGUUCUGAAAGCCCGGGGCUCAACCCCGGGAGGCGGAUGGAUACUGCUUGGCUCGAGUCCGGAAGAGGUGAGUGGAAUUCCCGGUGUAGCGGUGAAAUGCGCAGAUAUCGGGAGGAACACCAAUGGCGAAGGCAGCUCACUGGGACGGUACUGAUGCUGAGACGCGAAAGCGUGGGGAGCAAACAGG